CACCGGCGGCUCGAGUGGUAACCGUUAUUAUUGGGUUUAAAGGGUCUGUAGCCGGCCGGAUAAGUCUCUUGGGAAAUCUGGCAGCUCAACUGUCAGGCUUUCAGGAGAUACUGUUCGGCUCGAGACCGGGAGAGGUGAGAGGUACUUCAGGGGUAGGGGUGAAAUCUUGUAAUCCUUGAAGGACCACCAGUGGCGAAGGCGUCUCACCAGAACGGAUCUGACGGCAAGGGACGAAAGCUAGGGGC
rnacentral:rRNA from 1 species